rnacentral:sRNA from 1 species
CAUGAUCUACCUGUUGCGGGCUAAUAAAAUGAACAUGUGUGUCUAUACCACCAGCAGUAAGAAUAUGGCCAGCUCCAGAAUGAACCUCUGUGGAUGCACCAAUAAUCAUAUUUUCGGUAACACCAUCCAUCGUGUCAGGAUUUCCAGCUUUGCCAAUACCAACAAUUUUACCAUCUUUAAUUCCUACAUCUCCUUUAAUAAUUCCCCAAUGGUCAAUCACUACAACAUUAAUUAUGACAAAAUCCAGAACACCUUCAUCUCUUGUUUUGGUCGAAGAUUGUGCCAUACCAUCCCUCACG